rnacentral:rRNA from 1 species
GUAGGUGGCAAGCGUUGUCCGGAAUUAUUGGGCGUAAAGCGCGCGCAGGCGGUUCUUUAAGUCUGAUGUGAAAGCCCACGGCUCAACCGUGGAGGGUCAUUGGAAACUGGAGGACUUGAGUACAGAAGAGGAAAGCGGAAUUCCACGUGUAGCGGUGAAAUGCGUAGAGAUGUGGAGGAACACCAGUGGCGAAGGCGGCUUUCUGGUCUGUAACUGACGCUGAGGCGCGAAAGCGUGGGGGAGCAAACAGGAUUAGAUACCCUGGUAGUCCACGCCGUAAACGAUGAGUGCUAAGUGUUAGGGGGUUUCCGCCCCUUAGUGCUGCAGCUAACGCAUUAAGCACUCCCGCCUGGGAGUACGGCCGCAAGGCUG